UUCGCCAGAGUACUACAAGCGAAAGCUUAAAACUCAAAGGACUUGGCGGUGUUUCAGACCCACCUAGAGGAGCCUGUUCUAGAACCGAUAAUACUCGUUUAACCUCACCACUUCUUGUUUCCCCAGCCUAUAUACCGCCGUCGUCAGCUUACCCUGUGAAGGUCAAAAAGUAAGCAAAAUGGGUAUAGCCCAAAACGUCAGGCCGAGGUGUAGCGCACGAAGUGGAAGAAAUGGGCUACAUUUUCUAAUAAUAGAAUACUACGCACGACACACUGAAACGUGUAUCUUAAAGGUGGAUUUAGUAGUAAAAAGCAAA
rnacentral:rRNA from 1 species